GAGGACGAUGACGAACACGGCGGCUGGCUGGAGCUUUGGCGUGGGCGGUCGACAACGUCGGAGAUGGCGGUGGUGACGCGGUUGCGCUGGCGACAACGAAUCCCAGAUCUGGUCAGAUCUGGGCUUUCGCCGGCCGUCCUCGUCGCUGCGCUCUCCCCUCUUCUAGAACUCUUUCACCUCCUUCGACCUCGCUUCUCUCUCACUCAGGCCAGAUCCGAGCCUCCACCGGCCGGAUCUGACCUUCUCGGACUCGCUCGCCGGCGGCCUCCCCCGAAGUCUCUCAAUGGGAAGAUCUCGGAGCUCGCUCGUGCCGUUCUUCGACGAAGGUGGUGCCCUUUUAUAGGCGAGGGAAUCCGGUCGACGGAGCUUCGACCGCCGGUCCCCUUCGCGAGCCGAGCGGUUCUCCUUGGCUAAACCGGCGUCCCAUCCGAGCUCAUCUAGCGAAGCAUGCUCGGCAUUGAUGGCGCUCGCGAUCUUAUCUUCUCCGGCCGACGUCGGCCUACUCCCCUCGGCUGUAGGCCGUCCUUUGCGCACGUUGCCGGUCACCGCGCGUGAGAUGCAGGUGAUGAGGAAGAAGAAGACAGGAGGAAGAAGAAGAGAGGGGGGGCCGGGCCAAAACUCAAGAAAACAAGGGCUGGGCCCUGGGCCCGCGCAAAGGAGAGAAAAAGAGGGA
rnacentral:lncRNA from 1 species